rnacentral:rRNA from 1 species
CCUACGGGUGGCUGCAGUGGGGAAUAUUGGACAAUGGGCGAAAGCCUGAUCCAGCCAUGCCGCGUGAGUGAUGAAGGCCCUAGGGUUGUAAAGCUCUUUCACCGGUGAAGAUAAUGACGGUAACCGGAGAAGAAGCCCCGGCUAACUUCGUGCCAGCAGCCGCGGUAAUACGAAGGGGGCUAGCGUUGUUCGGAAUUACUGGGCGUAAAGCGCACGUAGGCGGACAUUUAAGUCAGGGGUGAAAUCCCGGGGCUCAACCCCGGAACUGCCUGUGAUACUGGGUGUCUCGAGUCCGAGAGAGGUGAGUGGAAUUCCGAGUGUAGAGGUGAAAUUCGUAGAUAUUCGGAGGAACACCAGUGGCGAAGGCGGCUCACUGGCUCGGUACUGACGCUGAGGUGCGAAAGCGUGGGGAGCAAACAGGAUUAGAUACCCCGGUAGUC